rnacentral:lncRNA from 1 species
CGGCCUCUUGGGCUCUCGAACCUGAAGACAAGGUUACUAUUCUUACGAAGUUCAAUAUCAAAUUCGGCUUUCAAUGUGCCGAAUGUAAUAACUGUAACACCUCACUUCGCCGAGAAGGCUGAUGAGAUGACCUCGACCAAUAAGGGUUCAGAAACCCUUCUCGACCGAGACUUGGAUAGGUAAUCAACCGUUCUCGCCGCAGUGCUGUUGAUGCCAACAGAAGAUACU